UGCAUCCAUCGAGCCCUACCUGAUCAGCUGCAAGAAUGGUACCAGGCAGCAGUGAAGCUAGACAUUCAGCUCACCCACUAUAAGAAGCCUCCCCCACACGAAUCCGAGCAGCAACCAGAGCUACCCGAACAGCAAUCAUCCCCACAAAAGCCUUCAACUACUGCAAUGGCUGAGAGACCCAGGCCACCUACAGACCCAUCAAUUAAGUAUUUCCGGUACAGACAGGAGGGACAUCGAGCAGCAAACUGUCCAGUCCCCUACCCCCGAUUACAGAGCAGACCAGAACCAGCGGCGAGAAGGAAACCUGACCAGCAGCUGACGAGAGAGAAAUCCAACUGGGUCAUACAGGAACCUGUUGCCCAGAUUACACCGAGACUCCAGGUGGACCCACCUCUGCUCUACUCUUCUUUGACAGCGAUGAUGAAGGAAAGAAUGACCCAAUGAUGCCUGGACUUCAACAACUGGGAGGAGAAUAUCCAGCUAUGGUACCGGACUGGCUCAGGAAUUCUGGAGUUGAAGUCCAAAAGUCAUAAGUGGAGCCAUAGUUCCCCACUUCUGCUCUAGAAGCAGCUGCGCUUUUGGGGUUGGGAUUCAACAGGAAAAUGAUGGGCGGAGCUAGAGCAUCCUUCCACCCAUUCUUCCGGUGUUGCUGUAGCCUCCCCGUCGCUGAUUCCGGCAUCUUUGUGGCCUGUUCUGCAGGUGAAAGUCACUUUCAGGAAGCCGCUGGCCUUGUUGCUGUAAGAAGCCAGGAGCUGGCUUGCAGCCGGCUGGGGAAAGAAGUCCGGCUCUUCCAGGCCUUGCUUCUAUCCUCAGAGGGGGUUUCCUGGCUGUGCUGACCCUUGGGAAGAGUGCAAGAAGGCCCAGUGCUCAGGGUGCCUCCACCCCGAUGUGGAGUCGUGCCUUUCCGGAUCUUUGGGUCACAGACUGCAUCCUCCAGGCCAUUGGCACAUCAGUUUUGGGGAUGGGUAGAGAUGGGAAAGCCUCUGGGAAAAAAAUCCAUUGUGUUUGGCAAAUGAAAUAAAUGCAUUCUGCUGUAA